rnacentral:miRNA from 1 species
UUUGUUCUGUACAUUUGCGUCUCUUCAUCUAAAUUUAUUUUUAGAAAGAACACUACUGGGGCUGGAGAGAUGGCUCAGUUGUUAAAGGCUAGGCUCACAACCAAAAAUA